UACGUAGGGUGCAAGCGUUGUCCGGAUUUAUUGGGCGUAAAGAGCUCGUAGGCGGUUUGUCGCGUCGGAUGUGAAAACCCAGGGCUCAACCCUGGGCCUGCAUUCGAUACGGGCAGACUAGAGUAUGGCAGGGGAGACUGGAAUUCCUGGUGUAGCGGUGAAAUGCGCAGAUAUCGGGAGGAACACCGGUGGCGAAGGCGGUUCUCUGGGCCUGUACUGACGCUGAGGAGCGAAAGCGUGGGGAGCGAACAGG
rnacentral:rRNA from 1 species